UAACACCCAGUGACCUGUUGCAUUCGGACGUACGGUACGGGGACUCGACACCCAUACGCCACCCGGUCGUCGCGAUCCCCUGUCUCACCCCACCCCCUCCCCUCUGCUGACCACCAGUCUGUUCUUUGCAUCAGACACAACAGUUUCAUCGCUGUACCUGAACAGUGUUGGCCGUUACGGAUGACCGCUGAAGACCUACAGAUACAUGACUUGUUUCACAAACGUUUUCCAAGAAAGUUUUACGGUUUAUUGCCUUCAUUUCGUUAGAAUCACUAUUUUGUCACAGCCAGGCUUUUCGCACAACGUGGGCUCCAUUGACAGACGAAUCUCCGUGAUUAAAAAAGUAAACCGACUUGUACUCAGAACGUACGAAAGGUAAAUAUUUUCACCCAAACCCUUAAGGUUAAAAAUUGCAAAACUAAAGUUAUCCUCUGUGCGUUUUCUGCGUUAGUUUUCUUUGAUAAUAUUGAAACUCUCCACUACGAUUAAAGGCACGACGUAAAUUGUAACUGAAGAAUGUUAACGCUUCAUAUCAAAACUAUUUAAAUCAAGCUGAAAUGUUUAAAUUUGUUAAAAAAAAAAAAGUUAAAUCCUUUCACGUAUGUCUCAUAAAAAUAACACCCUUUGCAGUCCUGAUGUUCAGCCAAAGUAAAUAAUUCGUAUCGCUCGUCAUCUGUUAGGAGGAGAUCUGUGUAGAGAUCGAUUGAUGGGAAUCAGGUAACACUGUGAAAUGUGCCCUCACUGCCACGUGCAGCUGUCGUGAAUACCAGGCUAAUUCGUGAGGGUUUCCAGAAGCACAAAUCGGAAAGAGAGCAAGGAAAUAGAUAUUUGGUACAACGGCGAAAUGCCCCCAGUUGGGGCAAGAACCGGUUGCUUCCGUCCUGGGCGCCGCCUCCCUGAAGCCCGCCGGCGUGUCUCACGGGAGGGGCACCGAGGGUGCAGGUUGGGUGACACCAGGCGGACUCUCAGGGGACAGAGGGGCCCCCGUGACCCCUUACGGGGAUCCGUGCAUGGCCGUUUGUAAUACGCUGGCCCCCGGAAGCACGAGUCCCAAGGAAGGGCCCCCUCGCCCCCCUCUCUGGGCCCCAUGUUGUCUCUGGUAUUUUCUGUGUAAAUGAAGACACGUGUCCCUCUUGCACCUCCAGCUGGGUGGCGGAGCUGAGACCCGGCUCCAGAACUUCGAGCCUCCGAGGGAAUUAUGGCGCAGCGGUUGGAACUCUGGCCUUGACCCAGGGCAGGGGGCUUCUCCGGGGCUGUGCCUUACUCCUGUGUCCAAACCGCUGUCACACGGGAGCUGCUCAUAAGUGUGGGGGGCGUUGUCCCUG
rnacentral:lncRNA from 1 species